AACGAACGCUGGCGGCAUGCCUAGCACAUGCAAGUCGAACGAGACCUUCGGGUCUAGUGGCGCACGGGUGCGUAACGCGUGGGAACCUGCCCUUAGGUUCGGAAUAACUCCCCGAAAGGGGUGCUAAUACCGGAUAAUGUCUUCGGACCAAAGAUUUAUCGCCUUUGGAUGGGCCCGCGUUGGAUUAGCUAGUUGGUAGGGUAAAAGCCUACCAAGGCGACGAUCCAUAGCUGGUCUGAAAGGAUGAUCAGCCACACUGGGACUGAGACACGGCCCAGACUCCUACGGGAGGCAGCAGUGGGGAAUAUUGGACAAUGGGCGAAAGCCUGAUCCAGCAAUGCCGCGUGAGUGAUGAAGGCCUUAGGGUUGUAAAGCUCUUUUACCCGUGAUGAUAAUGACAGUACCGGGAGAAUAAGCGCCGGCUAACUCCGUG
rnacentral:rRNA from 1 species